GAUGAACGCUGGCGGCGUGCCUAAUACAUGCAAGUCGAGCGAACAGAUGAGGAGCUUGCUCCUCUGACGUUAGCGGCGGACGGGUGAGUAACACGUGGAUAACCUACCUAUAAGACUGGGAUAACUUCGGGAAACCGGAGCUAAUACCGGAUAAUAUAUUGAACCGCAUGGUUCAAUAGUAAAAGACGGUUUUGCUGUCACUUAUAGAUGGAUCCGCGCCGCAUUAGCUAGUUGGUAAGGUAACGGGUUACCAAGGCAACGAUGCGUAGCCGACCUGAGAGGGUGAUAGGCCACACUGGAACUGAGACACGGUCCAGACUCCUACGGGAGGCAGCAGUAGGGAAUCUUCCGCAAUGGGCGAGAGCCUGACGGAGCAACGCCGCGUGAGUGAUGAAGGUCUUCGGAUCGUAAAACUCUGUUAUUAGGGAAGAACAAAUGUGUAAGUAACUAUGCACGUCUUGACGGUACCUAAUCAGAAAGCCACGGCUAACUACGUG
rnacentral:rRNA from 1 species